rnacentral:lncRNA from 1 species
CACGUCUUAUGUCAAUCACACUAAAUUCUAGCAGGUCCAAGGUACAGAAGUUUCUGAUGUAACUGAGAUAGAGAUCAUCAAUUGUAGUAGAUGAUCAAGUAGAUGUAUUUAUUCAACAUGACAACAACAUAAGAAGAGCACUCGAACUGAGUACUCAUUACAUGCUUCCCCCGUUGAUUCUACACCAAUUCAAAGAGAAGCCGCACAAGUCUUUUACACAUAUAGGAAAUCAACCAUCAAAGGCAAACACAACAUAACAUAUUAAGGUAAUAAUAUAGGUGUCACGGAUCCUGUGUCACACCCUGAUUUAUUUAGCAUUAAUUUUUGACCUCAUCUCCGGAUGUAGCUUCAGGGGUCUCCUCAGCAGGUGGACAGCAUCUUUGGCAAUGUCCAUGGUACCAGCGGCAGCAACCAUGUCUGCAACGAUCUGCGGUUACGGUAUCCUCAUUUCCUGAUUUAGCUUCAGGGGUCUCCUCAGCAGGUGGACAGCAUCUUUGGCAA